GAAUUUAAAAUUGUGCAGUGGUGCUGAUGUGGAUUCCUGAGGCUCUGGGACAGGACAACCAAUCACACAGGAGUCUGGCAUUCAUGUCUCUGGACUCCUUGGGACAUUUCUGGUCUACUUCUGAAGAAUCCACAAAAGGUAAUUGAGGAGAGUAAAUCUAUUGCCAGCCAUCUUCGGUUUGCUAUAUAAGGACCACUGCAUAUCUUCUGGAAAAUGCUUAAGACUCUUCACAUUGAUAUAAGCACAGAUAUAUUUUUGAUCACCACAAGAUUGUCCAUUUGGAUUAGACUGUGAAGCACCAUUUUAUUGGACACAAGGUACCCACCCUGCUGGCAGUGUGUGAAACAGACUGACACAUGCCACAUUCAUUCACAGCUAUUUUAUCUCCUCCUUUGUUCUAACAUCUAUAAUGUUAUGCAUAAUUUCUUUCAUAAUUUUUUCAGUGCACCAUCAGCUGUCAGUGUGGCAGGUGGCCGUCAGCCUGCAAUACAUAGCUGCAGAGAUGGAGAGAACUUUUCAAGAGCAAGUGAACAGGGAGAAUGCAAGGCCAUUAGCAAAGCACACCAAAA